rnacentral:misc_RNA from 1 species
AAAAUGCGAUAAGUAAUGUGAAUUGCAGAAUUCAGUGAAUCAUCGAAUCUUUGAACGCACAUUGCGCCCGCCAAUAUUCUGGCGGGCAUGCCUGUUCGAGCGUCAUUUCAACCCUCAAGCCCCCGGGUUUGGUGUUGGGGAUCGGGCUGCGGUUCUACCGCGUCCCGGCCCCGAAAUCUAGUGGCGGUCUCGCUGCAGCCUCCAUUGCGUAGUAGCUAACACCUCGCAACUGGAACGCGGCGCGGCCAAGCCGUUAAACCCCCAACUUCUGAAUGUUGACCUCGGAUCAGGUAGGAAUACCCGCUGAACUUAAGC